rnacentral:rRNA from 1 species
UACGUAGGGUGCAAGCGUUAAUCGGAAUUAUUGGGCGUAAAGCGCGCGCAGGCGGUUUCUUAAGUCUGAUGUGAAAGCCCACGGCUCAACCGUGGAGGGUCAUUGGAAACUGGGGAACUUGAGUGCAGAAGAGAAAAGCGGAAUUCCACGUGUAGCGGUGAAAUGCGUAGAGAUGUGGAGGAACACCAGUGGCGAAGGCGGCUUUUUGGUCUGUAACUGACGCUGAGGCGCGAAAGCGUGGGGAGCGAACAGG